GAUACGGGACUCAUCCGAGGCCCCGUAAUCGGAAUGAGAACACACUAAAUCCUUUAACGAGGAUCCAUUGGAGGGAAAGUCUGGUGCCAGCAGCCGCGGUAACUCCAGCUCCAAUAGCGUAUAUUAAAGUUGUUGCGGUUAAAAAGCUCGUAGUUGGUUCUGCGUGCCACGCUGUCGGUUCACCGCCUGUCGGUGCAACUGGCAUGCCGUGGCAUGUCCUGUCGGUGGCGGACGGGCCGCCUGCUGUUGGGCCCUAUGCGUUUACGCGUGUAGGUGUCUCCACACGGGUGCGUCCUGACGCCGAUUCAAUCCUACCGCGGUGCUCUUCACCGAGUGUCGAGGUAGGCCGACACUGUUUACUUUGAACAAAUUAGAGUGCUUCAAGCAGGCUCUGAAAUCAGCUUGGAUAGUGGUGCAUGGAAUAAUGGAACAGGACCUUGGUUCUAUUUUGUUGGUUUCCGGAAUCCAAGGUAAUGAUCAAUAAGGACAGGCGGGGGCAUUCGUAUUGCGACGUUAGAGGUGAAAUUCUUGGAUCGUCGCAAGACGCACUAAAGCGAAAGCAUUUGCCAAGUAUGUCUUAAUUGAUCAAG
rnacentral:rRNA from 1 species